AGAGUUUGAUCCUGGCUCAGAGCGAACGCUGGCGGCGUACUUAACACAUGCAAGUCGAACGAGGAUCAUCAGUGUAGCAAUACAUUGGUGGUCCUAGUGGCGCACGGGUGAGUAACACGUGGGUAACCUGCCCUUGAGCUCGGGAUACCCCCUCGAAAGGGGGGCUAAUACCGGAUACGUUCCUCGGAUCGACAGGUCUGGGGAGGAAAGGUGGCGCAAGCUGCCGCUCUUGGAGGGGCUCGCGGCCUAUCAGCUAGUUGGCGGGGUAACGGCCCACCAAGGCUAUGACGGGUAGCUGGUCUGAGAGGACGACCAGCCACACGGGGACUGAGACACGGCCCCGACUCCUACGGGAGGCAGCAGUGGGGAAUUUUCCGCAAUGGGCGAAAGCCUGACGGAGUGACGCCGCGUGUGGGACGAAGGCCUUCGGGUCGUAAACCACUGUCAGUGGGAAAGAAGGGUGUCGGUGCUAAUACCAUCGGCAUUUGACGGUACCUGCAGAGGAAGCCCCGGCCAACUCUGUGCCAGCAGCCGCGGUAAGACAGAGGGGGCAAGCGUUGCUCGGAAUUACUGGGCGUAAAGGGCGCGUAGGCGGGAUGGCAAGUCGGUCGUGAAAUCCUUCGGCUCAACCGAAGAACGUCGAUCGAUACUGCUGUUCUUGAGGGUUGCAGAGGAGACUGGAAUUCCCGGUGUAGCGGUGAAAUGUGUAGAGAUCGGGAGGAACACCGGUGGCGAAGGCGGGUCUCUGGGCAAUUCCUGACGCUGAGGCGCGAAAGCGUGGGGAGCAAACGGGAUUAGAUACCCCCGUAGUCC
rnacentral:rRNA from 1 species